UACGGAGGGGGCUAGCGUUGUUCGGAAUUACUGGGCGUAAAGCGCACGUAGGCGGCUUUGUAAGUUAGAGGUGAAAGCCCAGGGCUUAACCCUGGAAUUGCCUUUAAGACUGCAUCGCUAGAAUCGUGGAGAGGUGAGUGGAAUUCCGAGUGUAGAGGUGAAAUUCGUAGAUAUUCGGAAGAACACCAGUGGCGAAGGCGACUCACUGGACACGUAUUGACGCUGAGGCACGAAAGCGUGGGGAGCAAACAGGG
rnacentral:rRNA from 1 species